UUGAACCAAAAUAAAGAUAAGGGAGGGUUAGGCAUCGGAAGGGAGGGUGGGAAUGAUUGGUUUAAAUCAAAUGUAGGUUGUUGUAUUGACAAUGAUUAAACCAUUGGAUUUUGGAAGUUUAAAUGGUUUGGAAAUCAAUCUUUCAAUGAGCUAUUUCCUAAUCUUUUCAAUAAAGAAUCAAAUUCAGACGUUAUGAUUGCUAACAGGUUGUCUUGGAAUGACAAGAAUCUCUUGUGGUCUUGGUAGCGGCGUGUUGCCUUGUCUGACAACGAAAUCCACCAGGUUUUUUAUCUUUAGAAUUUGUUAACAAAUGUUUCUCUUUUCAAUCGGAUAGUGAUUAUAGAUGGAGGUGGGUACUGGACUCAGUUGGCAUAUUCUCCGUAAAAUCAUGCUAUAACAUGUUGCUUCAAACACAAAAUUUAGAUAAUUUGGAUCCAAAAGUGUUGGGAGCUAUUCAGAAGCUUUGGAAGAAUGAUGUCCCCUCCAAGGUAAUUGUUUUUGGUUGGAGAUUACUAUUUCAAAAGUUACCUACGCGGGCAACCCUUAAUCAUAGAGGGUUUGGGAAGAUGUUUUUUGAUGGAUAGGUCACAGUUUCCCGUCAGAUUUGGAAGGAUGUAAUCACUUUUUAUGUUUUGGGAACAUGAUUAAAUCAAAUGAAGGUACUCGUGUCAGAUUUGAUUAGCU